GACGAACGCUGGCGGCGUGCCUAAUACAUGCAAGUCGAGCGCAGGAAACUGACGGAACUCUUCGGAGGGAAGGCAGUGGAAUGAGCGGCGGACGGGUGAGUAACACGUAAGGAACCUGCCUCAAGGAUUGGGAUAACUCCGAGAAAUCGGAGCUAAUACCGGAUAGUUCAACGGACCGCAUGGUCCGCUGAUGAAAGGCGCUCCGGCGUCACCUUGAGAUGGCCUUGCGGUGCAUUAGCUAGUUGGUGGGGUAACGGCCCACCAAGGCGACGGUGCAUAGCCGACCUGAGAGGGUGAUCGGCCACACUGGGACGGAGACACGGCCCAGACUCCUACGGGAGGCAGCAGUAGGGAAUCUUCCACAAUGGACGAAAGUCUGAUGGAGCAACGCCGCGUGAGUGAUGAAGGCUCUCGGAUCGUAAAACUCUGUUGUAAGGGAAGAACACGUACGAGAGGGAAUGCUCGUACCUUGACGGUACCUUACGAGAAAGCCACGGCUAACUACGUGCCAGCCGCCGCAGUAA
rnacentral:rRNA from 1 species